rnacentral:rRNA from 1 species
UAAUUGUGAAAUCCCAAAGCUUAACUUUGGAACUGCAAUUAAAACUGCUCGACUAGAGUUUGAUAGAGGAAAGCGGAAUACAUAGUGUAGAGGUGAAAUUCGUAGAUAUUAUGUAGAACACCAGUUGCGAAGGCGGCUUUCUGGAUCAACACUGACGCUGAGGCGCGAAAGUAUGGGUAGCAAAGAGGAUUAGAUACCCUCGUAGUCCAUACCAUAAACGAUGAUUGCUAGAUGUUGGAAAUUUAUUUUCAGUAUCGCAGCUAACGCAUUAAGCAAUCCGCCUGGGGAGUACGACCGCAAGGUUAAAACUCAAAUGAAUUGACGGGGACCCGCACAAGCGGUGGAGCAUGUGGUUUAAUUCGAAGAUACGCGCAGAACCUUACCAACCCUUGACAUGUCUGUCGCGAGUUUAGGAAACUAGACUUUUCGGUUCGGCCGGACAGAACACAGGUGCUGCAUGGCUGUCGUCAGCUCGUGUCGUGAGAUGUUGGGUUAAGUCCCGCAACGAGCGCAACCCCUACUUUUAGUUGCCAUCAGGUCAUGCUGGGCACUCUGAAAGAACUGCCAGUGAUAAGCUGGAGGAAGGUGGGGAUGACGUCAAGUCCUCAUGGCCCUUACGGGUUGGGCUACACACGUGCUACAAUGGUAGUGACAAUGAGAUGCAAAGUGGCGACGCUAAGCUAAACUCAAAAAUCUACCUCAGUUCGGAUUGCACUCUGCAACUCGAGUGCAUGAAGC